UCUAAUUUAAUUUGAAUAAGACACGUGCAAUAGCUUUGAUUCUGCUUCUGUUUUGUUUAAGUGCUGUUUUAUAUUGUUUUAUUUAUAUAUAGUACUUUUAUUGAUUGCUGUUAUUUUUCUUGCAGGUGGGGGGUAUUCCAAUUUUGGAGAAGUGACCUGGAGGGAAGCACAUAGAUCAGAGAGGAGUCACAAGAGCAUGGAGCAGUGUCUCAGCUGGCCUAGAGAAUCGAACCCAGGACCUUCUUGCUGCUGUUACACUUCUGUCCAGUAGGGGUGAGAAUAAACCUAAACAUUGUGGAUCAACCAGCUCAGUUCAAACAACAACAAGAGGAAGAAGCAGAAGCUAACGUGUUCGUGUUUAAGUGACUCUAUCUGUAAUAAUGCAGUCAGCAGAAGAGGGACACGUCGCCCCCGUGGAUCUAGAAGAUGAAGGAUUCCAGAAGAAACUAAUAAAAAAGGAGGAAGAUGAAGAUGAAAGUUUCUGCUGUGAAGUAUCAUUAAUCCCUGUGAAACACGACACCUCUGAGGAACACCUCACCCCAGGUUUCCAGCCUCUGAAGAAGGAGGAACCUGAAGAUGAAGAUGAUCUCAGU